AACGUAGGUGGCAAGCGUUGUCCGGAAUUACUGGGUGUAAAGGGAGCGCAGGCGGAAUGGCAAGUUGGAUGUGAAAUCUAUGGGCUCAACCCAUAAACUGCAUUCAAAACUGCUGUUCUUGAGUGAUGUAGAGGCAGGCGGAAUUCCCGGUGUAGCGGUGGAAUGCGUAGAUAUCGGGAGGAACACCAGUGGCGAAGGCGGCCUGCUGGGCAUUUACUGACGCUGAGGCUCGAAAGUGUGGGGAGCAAACAGG
rnacentral:rRNA from 1 species